rnacentral:misc_RNA from 1 species
CCGAGUUUACAACUCCCAAACCCCUGUGAACAUACCUGUUUUGUUGCUUCGGCGGUGCCCUCGCUCUCGUGGCGAGGCCCGCCAGAGGACUCAAACAAACUCUUUGAUUUUGAUCUAGGAUUUACUUCUGAGUGAUAUACAAAAUAAAUCA